rnacentral:lncRNA from 1 species
AGCCCCUACACGUCGAGCGAGCGCGCACGCCGCGGCGAGGCCGGCGUGGUGCAGGGCAGCCCCUACGGCAGCCCGUACUCGAGCAAGCACGGUAGCCGAGAGAAACACAGGCGGCGACGCAAGCGCAGCAAGAACAAGGAUUCCGCGUCGCUGAAGGGGCAUAACACGGAUCAGGAAACGGUGUGCAGCGUGAAGUCUGGUCACCACACGCGUGACAGCCGACCUUCUGAAGGAGACUGCUCCUCGGAUGCCUGAGUCAUCCCAGAAGCAUGCCGGAAGCAUGCCGGAAGCAUACCAUAGGCAUCCCGGAAUCAUUCCGGAAGCAUCCUGGAAGUAUACUGGAGUCAUUCUGGAAGCAUCCUGGAAGUAUACUGGAGUCAUUCCGGAAGCAUGCCGAAUUCAUCCGGGGAAGUAUACCAGAGUCAUCCUGGAAGUAUAUUGUAGUCAUCCCGGAGGCAUACCUGAAUCAUCCCGGAGCUACGAUGCACAACUGAUUGAGAUCAUCCCGUCACCCACGAUUCCGUCGCCAUGGUGACACGCUAAUGUGGUGGGCGAUGCCGCGAGAGGGAAACGAUUUUGCACCCUCCGUCGAGGAACCUGAUUUUUGCCAAAGAGCCUUUUGCGCAUGACAUGACUUGCGGUUGCGAAAUGCAUGUCGUGUUGUCUCCUGGUUGUGUGAGACUGAUUGUACAGUGAUGCCAAGCUGCGGAGGUGACCGCUUGGACCACGAAUUGUGAAGGUAGUGGCACAAUUUUGUAUUGAUUAGAUUUGUAUCGCAUUGUGCUUUUAGUUGGCCACGUUUUUUUUUUUUACAUUUUGCAUUCUGGUUGUUUCCAGGGAGUAUCGUGAAUAGGUGUAAUUCCGCCCAAGAGGCACUCUGUUUUUGUGAACGUCUCUGCUCUGUAUUUAUUUCUAGAGUUUGUUACCAUAUAUCAUGUUAUGGUUUCCAACCUAUUGAAAGAAGGAGCAGUCAGUCCGUCUGAUGUUGCCUCGUGAUUGGAGACGUUGUAAAUCAUGCAUAGUAAUCAUAAAUGCAGAGUGUUUUCGUUGAGAAAGCUUGUGUCGUCUGUGUUGGCUCUACUUACUGUAUAUGGUUCCACCAUGAUGAUUCUUAACAUGAAUAUGUUUGUAAUGAUUUGACACAGUUAUGUUUACGCGGUAUUUUCUUCAACGCUGGGGAGACUAAGUUGUUUCGAAGCUUUUGGCGCAGUGGCUGGUUGUUUUUACGUCUUUAUCGGAAAUUAUUAGUAUUUCACAUAUUACGUUGCAUCUGUCCGCUGGAGGGCAGCACCGGGUCAGGCAGCGAUUUUAUGUCAGGCGUGAAAUUGUUCAGGUGAUGUGGUUUUAUCUAUUGAGUGUUGAGGAAAUUAUUCACGUUCGAAGUCGUGCGAGAAUGUUGUGUCUGUUUGUUAUUUAUGAAAAAAACGGUAGUUUUUUCUCCGUCGUUAGGUUGUGCAUAAAAAUCGUUACAAUGUUCACUGUGAAUCUUUUAGUGCUACUGGUUGCCACUAUACAACUAUACUAUAGUCAUCACCACUGCUCAUCUUCAUAUCCCCACAGCGUGGGAGCAAUGCAGGGUGGUGUAUGUAGUAGCUAGUGCUAGCGUUCACUGAAGAUGACCGCACUGCCUGUAGUGGCAUGUUGUGAGACACAGUAUACGUGCUAGCUAGCACUAGUAGCAGUGACUAGCGUUUAUCGUGAGCGUGGACGUAGCUCAGGCGAGAAAUAAGUUUGUGUUAUCCCUCACACCCCCCCACGUAUAUUUUAAAUGCGCAAUUGUAUGUGUGUGCGCGCGCGCGCACGCGUGUGUGCGGGAGUGUGCGUGAGUGUAUGAAUACAUACGAGUUUUACACCGCUGUACAGAUAUUACACAUUCUUCAUCGUCCGUCGCUGUGCGUGUUUUCGUGUAUUUAUUCAGUGUUUGUCAGCGCACUUGUUUUAUUGACAUGCUAUGUGUGGGGAUAGAUGGCGCUGAUCGUCAGCCGCGGUCACGUGGGAAAUCGAGACGUUUUAACUGAAUUUCUGUCUUAUUUCCUAGCAUUCAUAAUUUAGUUCUACGACCAAGUGUCUUCUUUAGUUUAAAACUGCAUGCGCGUGCGUGCGUGCAUGCGUUGGUGUAUGCGUGUAUGUACUUGUACUGUGCCAAACUCUGUCCGAAGAGAGCAUAAUAGCAUUCUCAUGUAUAGGGCAGGGUGCUGCGAAUAGAAUGCAAACAAUCACAAACAAUUCAUAGACGCCACUUGUCUCGUAUAAAUAACACAACAUUAACGUUGUGAGCCACGUUUUGUAAAGACGAUGCAGAUAUCAGCUUGUUGCACAGAUGAACAUUAUCCGAAGGAAUAUUAGUAAAAAAACAACAACACUACUGCCUUUUAUUGUCACGCGAUAUAAAUUAAAUCAAAACCAAUGAGCGAAAUUUGUCGAAACACGUCGAAUUCCUCCGGGUUUCUAACUUGCAGAUACGUGUCAUGUAUUUGUGGCCUAGGUUUAGCCGUGGUUUUGUUUUGUGAGCACAAUGUACGAGGCAUGUGCAUCACAUGUGCAGAAUGUAAGUAAAUGCUUCAGUUCGUGACGGGUGUCACCUGCGUAUAAACUGUCAUUUUUGAAUAAAUUAUAUUAAAAACGA